rnacentral:rRNA from 1 species
UACGAAGGGGGCUAGCGUUGCUCGGAAUCACUGGGCGUAAAGCGCACGUAGGCGGAUUGUUAAGUCGGGGGUGAAAUCCUGGAGCUCAACUCCAGAACUGCCUUCGAUACUGGCGAUCUUGAGUCCGGGAGAGGUGAGUGGAACUCCGAGUGUAGAGGUGAAAUUCGUAGAUAUCUGGAGGAACACCGGUGGCGAAGGCGGCAUCCUGGACCGGCAUUGACGCUGAGGCGCGAAAGCUAGGGGAGCAAACGGG